rnacentral:misc_RNA from 1 species
CAAACUGAGCGAUCUUUCUCUCUUACGAGAUCCAAGCCAGAAUUCUGUUCCAUUCUAAGGCGUAAACGGAAAUUAUAAAGAACUACGCCUUAUCAUGUGUCACUUUACCGCCGAAUUAAAAGCCCCUUUGAAUCAAUUCCAAUGCGAAAUUUUGAGGAGAAGGACUACGUAGCAUGGCUACAAUUUUGUAGCUCUUAAUUGGAUAAAUUACGAUAAAACUCAAAUCUCUCCGCCAGUAAGUUUUGUUGAAUGUCCACUUGAAAAGGAUCAUUUUGCAAGGAUGAGUAAUGCAUCAAACUUCAAGAUUUUGAAGGCCAUUUGACUCCUCUCCACGAGCAGCAUGAUUGAACAAAUCUCCAACAGGACACGGGCACCCCACCUUAUCACAUGGUGUAGGCAUCGUCCUUGAGGAUAUCUAUGAACAGGGGAAAAAAAACUGCAGAAUCUAAAGAAAUAUUUGGUAGUGCACAUAAUACACAGAAUGUCCAUGAGACCAAGAGAUCCUAUGCAAGAUUGUAGCAGAACAUCAAAGACCGUAACCCAUGCACAGAGGACACAAGUGAUCACCAGCGAAAAGACAUGGAUUAGCAUACUGAAAGAUGGAUUCAGAUUCCAAUAAAUUGCAAUGUUGAUCUAUCUUGUCAAUUUUACAAAUUCAGAUUCCUACUCACAAGUAGGAGCUUGUAUGCGCCAUAAAUUUUGUUUUUCCUAAUCAAGUACAUGAAUUGGUGGGAGGAUAAAUCACACCUAAAAUAUUUAAUUUAGCAUGCACCAUUUCCUGACACAGAAAAGUAUCCUCUUGGUUGCAGAAGCCCAAAUCAGGGAGUGACAAAGCAAAAUGGAGCAUGAAUAUGAGUUUGUUUUAAACAACACAGUAUAAAGUAUACUCACCCUCCUAGUCCUGCAUCAGGAAAAGAG